rnacentral:rRNA from 1 species
GCCAGACUCCUACGGGAGGCAGCAGUGGGGAAUAUUGGACAAUGGGGGGGACCCUGAUCCAGCGACGCCGCGUGAGUGAAGAAGUAUUUCGGUAUGUAAAGCUCUCUCAGCAGGGAAGAAAGAAAUGACGGUACCUGACUAAGAAGCCCCGGCUAACUACGUGCCAGCAGCCGCGGUAAUACGUAGGGGGCAAGCGUUAUCCGGAUUUACUGGGUGUAAAGGGAGCGUAGACGGCAAUGCAAGUCUGGAGUGAAAGGCGGGGGCCCAACCCCCGGACUGCUCUGGAAACUGUAUAGCUGGAGUGCAGGAGAGGUAAGUGGAAUUCCUAGUGUAGCGGUGAAAUGCGUAGAUAUUAGGAGGAACACCAGUGGCGAAGGCGGCUUACUGGACUGUAACUGACGUUGAGGCUCGAAAGCGUGGGGAGCAAACAGGAUUAGAUACCCGAGUAAU